AGUGGUAUGUUGAGUUUGGGAAUGCUUCAUAAUUCAUCAAAUUUUCAUUUGGUUUUCCACACUGAAAUGAAAGUAUACUGUAUGAAAAAUAUAGAGAGAUCAGAUCUGAUACCAACUCUUAAAAAGAAUUGAAGCUGGAGAACAAUCCAUUAAAUCAGUUAGCCUUAAUCACAAAAAUGCAACAUUCUAAAGCAAUGGUAAUAGGUUUAAUUUACAAUAGGAUGUAUCCAUAAUAUGAUAAAACAUUUUAAAGAUGAAGUUAGUUAGGGUGUGUUCAUUACAAUAGGAGUUAGGCAGA
rnacentral:lncRNA from 1 species